AACCACAUUGUAUGAGUGAUUAUGUUUUCAUUUAGUUUUGCGAAAUGUACUUUAAGGUAUUUGAGUAGUGUUAUCUGGUGAUUCAAAUUCUAAUGUCACUAUAAUGUGAUUGUAUAGACUUCAUUAAAGAAUUUGAGCUUACAAUAAUUUCUGAUUGGUUGAGCUUCUUUUUGUUAAUUGCUAGAGGGUCCAUGCGCCUGUGCUCA
rnacentral:misc_RNA from 1 species